rnacentral:misc_RNA from 1 species
ACCUAAACCCACGUUUAAAAAGUUGGCAUUUGGCCCACCAGCAGAACACUCCCAGCAAAAUUACAGACUACUGAUUGGGACAGAAAGGCCACAAUGGGUAAAAACGGAACGGGUCCAGACUCCAGAGAGCAAAGCAGGAUCAUGAACUCACUAAUCUCCUCACAGGUUACAUUCAUGAAAUAUAACAAUAAAAUCCCAAAUAAAAAAGUAAAAAAGGAAAAACGAAAAACCCCUAGAUGGGGAUUUUACAAUGAUAUCCUUAUAGACUCCUGAAAAGGGUAGGCAGAUUAAUAAGGCAGAAAUGGUAGUAUUUUGUAUUGGGUGCAUUACAUGAUAGAGCAGGCAUUUGGGUUGUCAUCACUGAACAUGGAGAUAUAUGGGUCUUCAUAUCUGGUCACAGUGCCAGUGGUUGCAGUGCUUUCCACGUUCCUGACAUAACCAGGAGGUGCCCUCUUGUCAUAAGCCUGAGCAAUGUAAGGCUGAGCCACUAAAUUGUAAGGAACGUAAGGCCAAAUCUCAGUCUUUUUUCCUGUUGACUUAGCCUUCUUCAAUACCUUGUUUGAAUCUACAUAACCAGUUACAGUAACCUUCUGCUGUUUCCUGUUUAUCUCCACCUUUUUAACUCCACUUAAUGAAGAAAG